AAUAUUCGAUCAGCCCUUUGUUGGUUGUGAGUAUAUAUGGAUUGAACAUAAACCGUUCUUUGAAAUCAAUUGGAGGGCAAGUCUGGUGCCAGCAGCCGCGGUAACUCCAGCUCCAAUAGUGUAUAUUAACGUUGUUGCAGUUAAAAAGCUCGUAGUUGAAUUUCUGGGGGGGCUGCCAUCGACACUGUCAUGGUGGCCCUUUCAUCCGCCUUGGAAUCGGGAAGGGUAUUUAUUUACUGGCCCGUGGAAGUGGUAUUUUACUUUGAAGAAAUUAGAGUGUUCCAGGCAAGCCUUUGCUUGAAUACAUCAGCAUGGAAUAAUGGAAUAGGACAUCGUUCAUUUUUUUGGUGAUGAACAUGUAAUGAUUAACAGGGACAGUUGGGGGCAUUCGUAUUCUGUUGCCAGAGGUGAAAUUCUUGGAUUAGCUGAAGACGAACUAAUGCGA
rnacentral:rRNA from 1 species